UGCCAAACACCCAGUGAUC
rnacentral:misc_RNA from 1 species